CCUUCUCAGCGGUGGGGUUCCAGGGAUUUUUAAUUUUCUUCUGGUUUGAUUAUUUACAGUUUCUAAGUGUUCUCUAGUGGACGAUAUGGAGCUUUUAUAAUAAGAUAUAUUAUUCUAAAAUUAUUAUUUAAAAACAGCUGCAGAACUUCGGCAGCGCGAUCCUACGAUGCAAGCAGCGCCCCCAUCCCCCCGCCCCCCACCUUUUAUUUAUUCAUUUAUUUAGUUUUUAUUUUUAAGACUUGCGAGACGCUAUUUGGGGCCGGGACCGGGCUCCUCCCCCCUCCUUUCGGGCCGCCCCGUGGCCCCGCCCAGACCGACCCUUUUACUCCAGGACCGCCCCCUUCUCCGUUGGUUGCUGGGAAAACCCGGAAGGGUGGACUCUCAACACCUGCCGAUCCCGGCGGCUCCGGUGCCCGCUGGGCCUGUUCCGCCGCCGGGCCAGGGCCGGCUCACCAGGAGCGAGGCGUCUCUGAGCCGCUCCCAGCCUCUCCCCUCCUUCUCCCCGUCCUUGGCAAACCAAGCAAAGUAGCACCUCCGACCCCCCGCCCCGAGCUGGGACCUGCAAAGUGGGUCAGGACUGGACUGAGCAUGCUCCGGACGGGGCCGGGAUGCCGCACGCGGCCGCCUGUCGUUGCCCGAGGUGGAUGGAGCUGCGCUCCCGUCACGACACUGAAGACCAUUCACUGCGACUCCUGUCCACCUCUCUUCAGAUUCUCAGAGGAUCAGCAGAAUGCUCUCGUGCUAUCUUAAACAGGCUUGAGGCAGGUGGGGGAAACUUGCUUUUAACGCUCUGUCACAGAAGAGAAGACUGAAUUGGAGAAAGAUUACAGGAAAGAGAUUUUACAGGCUUGAGGUGAAUAGACCCAAGAACCCAGAGAGAGCCUUGCACUGAGCCCAGGCAGGUCAGUAGAUAGAUGUCCGUAUUCUGUCUGAGGAGGAAGAAACUAGACAGAUGGGUCAGCUGCCCAGUGACGUUUGGUAUGAGAGUGGGAGAUACCCUCACUAAGAGUUGGCUUCAUUUCGACCUCUCCCUCUCAUCCAGCCCGGGUUCAGCUUCAGCAUGAUUGGAGACACCAUCUUUAGUGGAAGGUCACCCCUGGGAAGAGCUUGUGUUCCCCCUAGGCUCUGACUUGUGUUGGGUCACCCUCAUCCCUUGGCUUUGAGACCCCAUUGCUCUUGGUACUUCCUGAGCACUGCUCUUGAUCCCUAUAGACAUCUACACUGCAAAUUUCUGGCUGAGGAAAAGAUGGGUAAGACAUUUCUUUAAUAGUUCAUACCGCCUUUCCUUCCCAUCUGAAGCUUCCUGGUCCCCAGUUUUUCUUAGUUUUCUUGUCUUUCUGAUGGUUCCUUCUCAUCUUUGUUCUCCAGGUUCAUUUCCUUUGCACCAUCCUAUUGUAAGUGUUCUGUCCUGUGGCACCUUCCCUUCUGCUUUCCCUUCUGCUCUUCCCAUCCGAUGACUGUCACUAGCAAGGUGGUGUUCAGUUGAUGUGUGCACAUGAGGCUGUGAAAGCUGUUAAUUGCUGCAAUUCUUUCUGGUCCAUCAGGCACCUAUUCUGAUUGGCCCAUGUCUAUGCCUGACCAUUUGUCUCUACUGAUUAUUAAUAUUUUUGAAUAUUUUAUUUGCCCCAGAUAUUAUACUCCUCUCCAAAUCUCCCUGAGUUCAGACUCUUAUAUGUAAUCUACCAAGUAUCUUAAUGGCUGUGACCCUCAGGAAACUGGAGCCCAAUAUGUCGCAAACAGAAUUCAUGUGCUAUAGCUGCUCUUCUACUUACAUGUCCUAACAUGGUUACUGGUACUCCCACCUUCUCAGUUCUGCACACCACAAAUGCGGAUGCUAUCCUCGAUCCACCCAUCUGCCUUUCCUUUGUCAUCCAGCUGGUCACUGGUACUGUCCACCCUGCCCUGAGACGUCUCUGCAAAUGGACCGUCCACCUGCACUGCCUUCUCAGGCCCAUCAUCUCUUCCAAAUGAGUCUUCUCCCUCUGUAUUUCCUCCAAUCCAAUCUCCAUGCCUCCUCAGACUUUUCUUUUUAAGCAAAUUAUAUUUUGGUGUCUUUGCUGAGCCCUUAGAGUAUGGGUUCUUAGUGCCUUCAGGAUAAAGUCCAACUUUGAAGCAUAGACUGGCCCCUGUCUCCCUCUCCAGAUUAGUCUCCAGCCGGUGUCUGCUGGUGUCCCAUUUCCUAGCCAAUCUGUACUACUUGCUAUGCAUAUUCAUGCCUCCAUGUUCCUUUAGUUUUUCUGUUCCUCUUUCCUCUUGUUCACCCCUUGGCAACUGUUAAGCCUCAGGGUCCAGUUCAGGCUGGGUCCCCGUGACUUCCUCAAGAUGACCUCUUCCUGAAUAUUUCAACUGUAUACCUUGUACUUUGUCUUCAUUUUGACACCUAACCUUGGCUUAUUUUUUUUUUUUUAACUCCUCCACUACAUUGUAUGCAAUGUGAUAGCAAGGGCUUGUCUUGAUAUCUUUGUAUCUUUGUAUUCAGUAACAUUUUACCUAAUAAAUGAAUGAUUGACAUUUGUACCCAUACAAUA